rnacentral:rRNA from 1 species
GAAAACCAACAAGUUGGUCCAAAGGAAUUGCAGAAGAACAUCAAAGAUAAGUUCAAGAUAGAUUUACCAUACAUGAGGUUGUUCAAUGGUAAACAACAUGCUAUGGAUUCUAUUUAUGGUAACUGGAAGGAAAGUUUUCAAUUGUUGUAUUCAUUCAAAGGUGAAGUGGAGAGGACAAGCCCAGGUAGUAUUGUAGAUAUUGAUCACCACACCGUGGAGUACACAUUCAGGGGAGUCACAAAGACCAAGGAAUGCUUUAGGAGGGUUUUUGUCUGCUUUGAGGCUUGUCGCUGGGGUUUUUUGGCAGGCUGCAGGCCUUAUUUGGCUAUUGAUGCCACUUUUCUCACAGGGAGGUUUAAAGGACAGUUAGUAGCAGCUUGUGCAGUUGAUGCACACAGUUUUGUAUUUUCAAUUGCCUACGGUGUGCUGGAGACAGAGUCUGAGGAGAGUUGGACUUGGUUUUUGCAUAAUCUGCGCCGGGCUAUUGCACAUCCCAAUGGGUUGGUCAUUCAUACAGGUGCUUGCAAAGGUUUAGAAGUGGUCAUGGAAAAUGUGUUCCCUGAGGUAAAGCAUAGGGAAUGCAUGUGUCACCUUGCUACAAAUUUCAUGAAGAAAUUCAAAGGAAAGGUGUAUACCGACAAUUUAUGGCCAGCAUCUUUGACUUGCAGUGUGAAGAAGCACAACUACCACUUGAGGCAGUUAUACAUGAAUCCCAAAGUGAAAGAAUACUUGAAAACACACCACUCCAAGUUAUGGGCCAGAAGCCAAUUCAGUGAACUGAGCAAAGUUGACUAUGUGCACAAUAAUCUAGCAGAGUCUUUCAACUCAACGAUUCGGAAA